rnacentral:rRNA from 1 species
GACGAACGCUGGCGGCGUGCUUAACACAUGCAAGUCGAACGAAGUGGCGAACGGGUGAGUAACGCGUAAUCAACCUGCCCUUCAGAGGCGGACAACAGUUGGAAACGACUGCUAAUACCGCAUACUGAAUGAGGGGUUUGCGUCUGAUUAGCUAGUUGGAGGGGUAACGGCCCACCAAGGCGAUGAUCAGGAGCCGGUCGGAGAGGAUGGACGGCGACAUUGGGACUGAGACACGGCACAGUCACCUACGGGAGGAAGCAGUGGGGAAUCUACCGCAAUGGACGAAGGUCUGACGGAGCAACGCCGCGUGAGUGAUGACGGCCUUCGGGUUGUAAAGCUCUGUUAAUCGGGACGCGGUACCGGAAUAGAAAGCAACGGCUAACUACGUGCCAGCAGCCGCGGUAAUUC